CCUCCCUGCUGUCCUGCUAGCACACUGCAAGGCCAAGUUCUCACAGCCCCUGUGGCUCCCAGCUGCUUCCAAUGGAUUCAUUGUCUGCCUUGUUUUGUUUGUCCCAAGUUCAGGCCACCCUGUUGGUGAGUGGCCUCUUUCAAAGGUGAGCUUGCCUAUCUCGGCCUUGGACAAUUGGUCCUUUCAAGGGGGACAGGCAGCUCUGUGAACCUUCUCUGCCCUUGCUCGGGCAAAUCUCUGCCACGGCCACCAGGCCCAGGAACACGCUGCAAAGCUUGACCAAGAAAACAGCCCAUCCUGUUCUGUCUUCUAUCCUCUGAUGGAGGCACUCCACGUCCUCUGCUGGCCUAGAUGAACUGGCUGUCAUGUCCCACCAUGACAUGCUGACCACUGCGUAGGCAUAAGCAACUGAGGAGGUCCAGUCCUGACACAUGUACUACAAGGAGAUGCAGCUCUCCUUAGUCCUGGCCUUUGUGUGGGGGGUCCAAUGCUGCCGCCUGGCCCUCUCUGCAACCCCGCAUCCAGUUCCAGCUUCCACAAGUGUCAGGAAUGUUAGCAGGGAGCAGGAUCAGAAGCAGAGCAGCCAAGAUCCUAUCGAAUGUGGAAUGCCAACAUCACCACAAUAGCUGCCCCAGAGUACAUUCUUCCAUUCAUGUAGCACGCAGCAUGUUAGUUAGUGCACAUGCUUAGAGACCAAAUACCUGGAUUCAAACUCCAGCUGAGUCAAGUUCCAGGCUGGAGCAUAACUCUACUCAACGGGACCUAGACUGAGCCCCUCUCCACUGCAGUCCUCACACCUACCUCCUCAGCAUGAUUCCAAAGCUCCACGGAAGACCCUACAUCCUUUCAUUCCUCAUCUGAGGAACUGAAACACUUCCU